AUUGAACGCUGGCGGCAGGCCUAACACAUGCAAGUCGAACGAGUGGCGGACGGGUGAGUAAUGUCUGGGAAACUGCCCGAUGGAGGGGGAUAACUACUGGAAACGGUAGCUAAUACCGCAUACCAUCGGAUGUGCCCAGAUGGGUUGAGCUAGUAGGUGGGGUAACGGCUCACCUAGGCGACGAUCCCUAGCGGGUCUGAGAGGAUGACCAGAAACCCUGGAACGGGGACACGGUCCAGACUCCGACGGGGGGCAGCAGUGGGGAAUAUUGCACAAUGGGCGCAGGCCUGAUGCAGCCAUGCCGCGUGUAUGAAGAAGGCCUUCGGGUUGUAAAGUGCUUUCAGAGAGGAGGCGUUACUCGAAGAAGAAGCACCGGCUAACUCCGUGCCAGCAGCCGCGGUAAUUC
rnacentral:rRNA from 1 species